GGGGAUGUAGCUCAGAGGGAGAGCGCCUGCCUUGCAAGCAGGAGGUCGGCGGUUCGAAUCCGCUCAUCUCCACCA
rnacentral:tRNA from 3 species